UACAGAGGUCUCGAGCGUUGUUCGGAUUCAUUGGGCGUAAAGGGUGCGUAGGUGGCGCCGUAAGUCGAGUGUGAAAUUUCGGAGCUUAACUCCGAAACUGCAUUCGAUACUGCGGUGCUUGAGGACUGGAGAGGAGACUGGAAUUCAUGGUGUAGCAGUGAAAUGCGUAGAGAUCAUGAGGAAGACCAGUGGCGAAGGCGGGUCUCUGGACAGUUCCUGACACUGAGGCACGAAGGCCAGGGGAGCAAACGGG
rnacentral:rRNA from 1 species